rnacentral:rRNA from 1 species
AGUGCACAUGGUGGAUGCCUUGGCGAUUACAGGCGAUGAAGGACGUAGUAGCUUGCGAUAAGCUGCGGGGAGUGAGCAAACACACUUUGAUCCGCAGAUUUCCGAAUGGGGAAACCCGGCCUUUUAGGUCAUUGCAUACUGAAUACAUAGGUAUGCGAAGCGAACGCGGCGAACUGAAACAUCUAAGUAGCUGCAGGAAAAGAAAUCAACCGAGAUUCCCAAAGUAGUGGCGAGCGAAAUGGGAUGAGCCUUGUACGUGAUAGUCGAUUGAAUAGUGGAACGCCUUGGAAACGGCGGCCAUAGAGGGUGAUAGCCCCUUACACGAAAUUCAGACGGUGGUACUAAGCGUACGACAAGUAGGGCGGGACACGAGAAACCCUGUCUGAAUAUGGGGGGACCAUCCUCCAAGGCUAAAUACUCGUAAUCGACCGAUAGUGAACAAGUACCGUGAGGGAAAGGCGAAAAGAACCCCGGGAGGGGAGUGAAAUAGAUCCUGAAACCGUGUGCAUACAAACAGUCGGAGCCUCUUCGUGGGGUGACGGCGUACCUUUUGUAUAAUGGGUCAGCGACUUACAUUCAGUGGCGAGGUUAACCGGAUAGGGGAGCCGUAGAGAAAUCGAGUCCGAAUAGGGCGUUCAGUCGCUGGGUGUAGACCCGAAACCAGGUGAUCUACCCAUGGCCAGGAUGAAGGUGCGGUAACACGCCCUGGAGGUCCGAACCCACUAAUGUUGAAAAAUUAGGGGAUGAGCUGUGGGUAGGGGUGAAAGGCUAAACAAACCUGGAAAUAGCUGGUUCUCUCCGAAAACUAUUUAGGUAGUGCCUCAAGUAUCACCAUCGGGGGUAGAGCACUGUUAUGGCUAGGGGGUCAUUGCGACUUACCAAACCAUUGCAAACUCCGAAUACCGAUGAGUGCGAGCUUGGGAGACAGACGUCGGGUGCUAACGUCCGUUGUCAAGAGGGAAACAACCCAGACCGCCAGCUAAGGUCCCAAAUGCAUGGCUAAGUGGAAAACGAAGUGGGAAGGCAUAGACAGCUAGGAGGUUGGCUUAGAAGCAGCCACCCUUUAAAGAAAGCGUAAUAGCUCACUAGUCGAGUCGUCCUGCGCGGAAGAUGUAACGGGGCUCAAGCCAUGAACCGAAGCUGCGGAUGUGCAAUUUAUUGCACGUGGUAGGGGAGCGUUCUGUAAGCCUGCGAAGGUGUCUCGAGAGGGAUGCUGGAGGUAUCAGAAGUGCGAAUGCUGACAUGAGUAGCGAUAAAGGGUGUGAAAAGCACCCUCGCCGAAAGCCCAAGGUUUCCUACGCAACGUUCAUCGGCGUAGGGUGAGUCGGCCCCUAAGGCGAGGCUGAAAAGCGUAGUCGAUGGGAAACAGGUGAAUAUUCCUGUACCGCUCUUUACUGCGAUGGGGGGACGGAGAAGGUUAGGCCAGCCGGGUGUUGGAUGUCCCGGUUCAAGCGUGUAGACGUGUUUCGUAGGCAAAUCCGCGAGACUUAGUUGAGGCGUGAUAACGAGCGCACUUGUGCGCGAAGUGGUUGAUACCCUGCUUCCAGGAAAAGCCUCUAAGCUUCAGGUAAAGAGUGACCGUACCGCAAACCGACACAGGUGGGCAGGUUGAAAAUACCAAGGCGCUUGAGAGAACUCAGGAGAAGGAACUCGGCAAAUUGAUACCGUAACUUCGGGAGAAGGUAUGCCCCGGUAGCUUGUAGUCGUACAGACGAAGGGCGAUGGGGCCGCAGAGAAUCGGUGGCUGCGACUGUUUAAUAAAAACACAGCACUCUGCAAACACGAAAGUGGACGUAUAGGGUGUGACGCCUGCCCGGUGCCGGAAGGUUAAUUGAUGGGGUGCAAGCUCUUGAUCGAAGCCCCGGUAAACGGCGGCCGUAACAAUAACGGUCCUAAGGUAGCGAAAUUCCUUGUCGGGUAAGUUCCGACCUGCACGAAUGGCGUAACGACUUCCCCACUGUCUCCAGCAUAGGCUCAGUGAAAUUGAAUUCCCCGUGAAGAUGCGGGGUUCCUGCGGUCAGACGGAAAGACCCCGUGAACCUUUACUGUAGCUUUGCGCUGGUAUUCGUGACUGUUUGUGUAGGAUAGGUGGGAGGCUUUGAAGUGGUGACGCCAGUUGCCAUGGAGCCGUCCUUGAAAUACCAGCCUGGUCCUGUCGGGGUUCUAACGUCGACCUGUUAUCCAGGUUACGGACAGUGUAUGGUGGGCAGUUUGACUGGGGCGGUCUCCUCCCAAAGAGUAACGGAGGAGCACGAAGGUGCGCUAAUCACGGUCGGAAAUCGUGAGGUUAGUGUAAAGGCACAAGCGCGCUUGACUGCGAGACAGACAAGUCGAGCAGGUACGAAAGUAGGUCUUAGUGAUCCGGUGGUUCUGUAUGGAAGGGCCAUCGCUCAACGGAUAAAAGGUACUCCGGGGAUAACAGGCUGAUACCGCCCAAGAGUUCAUAUCGACGGCGGUGUUUGGCACCUCGAUGUCGGCUCAUCACAUCCUGGGGGUGAAGAAGCUCCCAAGGGUUCGGCUGUUCGCCGAUUAAAGUGGUACGUGAGCUGGGUUUAAACCGUCGUGAGACAGGUUGGUCCCUAUCUGCUGUGGGCGUUCGAAACUUGAGGGGUUUUCUCUUUAGUACGAGAGGAUUUGGAGGGACGUACCUCUGGUGUUCCUGCUGUCACGCUAGUGGCACCGCAGGGUAGCUAAGUACGGUCGGGAUAAGCGCUGAAAGCAUAUAAGCGCGAAGCCUCUCCCAAGAUUAGGUUUCGUUGAACGCAAGUUCU